rnacentral:misc_RNA from 1 species
GAAUGUAAAAUUAUGUAAACAAUGGAUAUAAAAUCUUAGAAAUACCUACGACAAGGAAAACUGUUCCCCAGCGUGCGAUAACGCUUGAAUCGUUGCAAGAGGAAGGUAUCGAUGCAUCGGUAUCGCGUUUCUCUUCCUUCGACGUUUCGAGAGCAUCAUAGUUACCGGUAAGCGUGACACAAAGGUUAUUACGCUGGCACGAUAACAUCCGGGCAUAGCUGACGUGUUUGACUGACGAGCUCUCAGACGUCGCUGCAGGAGCACGCCAUUUGCGGACGGCCGGCUGAUACUUAUCUGCAGUUCUUCAUCCUCGUUCUCCCUCCUCGUGGCCACCGCUGAUUAUCCAUCGACUAUUUCCAACGCUGCCUCCAGCUGGUUUUCGCCGUUUUUCCUCGAGAUUCUCUUGUUCGACGCACCAACGUUGGCCUCGCUUCGACAGAAGAUGAGCAGUCUCGAGGGAAGAAUAAAGAGAAGACAAGUUUUAAAUAAUUCUACAACGAGCUCAAAAUCUUGGAGCAGUAUGUUUGUUUCAAUACAGAGAAACGUUAAGUAAUUGUAUGUACAUGGUAAGGUGCUUGGACGGAUUUUCCUAAGGGCUGAAUUAUAUUAUAAAG